ensembl:misc_RNA 7SK 7SK RNA
GGAUUUGAGGGCGAGCUGGCUCUGCGACAUCUGUCACCCCAUUGAUCACUAGGGUUGAUUUGGCUGAUCUGGCUGCCUAUGCGGGUGUCCACUCAUCCCACACCCAUCUAUUUGUAUCCCUCCCUUAACUGCGUGCUGGGUCAGAGGACAGCCUUACCCCCAGAGGAAAGGACUGGUCUUCCAUCAAGGGUAUAUGAGUAGCUGAGCUUCCGAUAGAACCUUCAAACAAGCUCUCAAAACAUGCCGUCUUCAUCACUUUCUAGUUGUUUUUUUAAGGAAGAGCAGAGUAGAAGGAUGAAAUAAUAUGCAAAUAUCAGAUACCCCACAUUGUGUUUUAUUU